AUUGAACGCUGGCGGCAUGCCUUACACAUGCAAGUCGGACGGUAACAGGUCUUCGGAUGCUGACGAGUGGCGAACGGGUGAGUAAUACAUCGGAACGUGCCCGAGAGUGGGGGAUAACGAGGCGAAAGCUUUGCUAAUACCGCAUACGAUCUCAGGAUGAAAGCAGGGGACCGCAAGGCCUUGCGCUCACGGAGCGGCCGAUGGCAGAUUAGGUAGUUGGUGGGAUAAAAGCUUACCAAGCCGACGAUCUGUAGCUGGUCUGAGAGGACGACCAGCCACACGGGGACUAAGACACGGCCCAGACUACUACGGGAGGCAGCAGUGGGGAAUUUUGGACAGUGGGCGCAAGCCAGAUCCAGCCAUGCCGCGUGCAGGAUGAAGGCCUUCGGGUUGUAAACUGCUUUUGUACGGAACGAAAAGACUCUGGUUAAUACCUGGGGUCCAUGACGGUACCGUAAGAAGAAGCACCGGCUAACUACGUGCCAGCCGCCGCGGUAAGAC
rnacentral:rRNA from 1 species